rnacentral:rRNA from 1 species
GCUCAGUCAAUCACCUCAUCAUGCGCCUCCUUCCCAUCUCCGCUGAUUUCGUCUGGGUCGGUCCUGGUUAAUACUUGAAUGGGAGACUGCCUGGGAAUACCAGGUGCUGGAAGCU